rnacentral:snRNA from 1 species
AACUUUGCAGAGUGGCAUUAUUACAGCCAGAGAGGUUUCUCUAAGGCAUAAUUGUUGCUAAUUUAAAAUGUGACUCAAGAGGAGUUAGAAAGUUAUCUAGCUAUCCCAUCUUUCCCUCCAGCUUAAAAGG